ACUCAGAUUAAGAGAGCUGAGCAUCUCAGGGCCCAUUAUCUCUUGAAUCCGAAGGACUAAAUUGGGAGAUCAAAGGUGGAUUUGCCCCAUUUGUACAAACCAUUCACUCUUGCAAGAACUUUAGAAGAAACCUAACAAGUCCCAGAGGCAAAACACAGACUUAUCGAGGACGCCUGUGGAAUGCGUCAUCUUCCCAGGAUCACAUGACAGCUCC